rnacentral:rRNA from 1 species
GACGAACGCUGGCGGCGUGCUUAACACAUGCAAGUCGAACGGAAAGGCCCUGCUUUUGUGUGGUGCUCGGGUGGCGAACGGGUGAGUAACCCGUGGGUACCCUACCCUUGACUUUGGGAUAACUUCAGGAAACUGAGGCUCAUCCCGGCUAGGAGCUCCUGCUGCAUGGUGGGGGUUGGAAAGUUUCGGCGGUUGGGGAUGGACUCGCGGCUCAUCAGCUUGUUGGUGGGGUAGUGUCUUACCAAGGCUUGGACGGGUAGCAGGCCUGCGAGGGGGACCGGCCACAUCGGGACGGAGAUGAGGCACAGACUACUACGGGAGGGAGCGGUGGAGUAUAUUGUAUAAGGGGCGGAGGCAUGAUGUAGCAACGCCGCGUGGGGGAAGACGGCCUGCGGGUUGUAUUCCGCUUUCGCUUGUGACGAAGUGUGAGUGACGGUAACGGGUAAAUAAGCACCGGCUAACUACGUG